rnacentral:rRNA from 1 species
UACAGAGGGGGCAAGCGUUGUUCGGAAUUACUGGGCGUAAAGGGCGCGUAGGCGGCAUGGCAAGUCGGGAGUGAAAGGCCUGGGCUCAACCGAGGAACUGCAUUCGAAACUGCCCGGCUCGAGUCCCGGAGAGGAUGGCGGAAUUCCCGGUGUAGGGGUGAAAUCCGUAGAUAUCGGGAGGAACACCAGUGGCGAAGGCGGCCAUCUGGACGGUGACUGACGCUGAGACGCGACAGCGUGGGGAGCAAACAGG